rnacentral:misc_RNA from 1 species
GGAAGUAAAAGCGUAACAAGGUUUCCGUAGGUGAACCUGCGGAAGGAUCAUUACAGAGUUCAUGCCCUCACGGGUAGAUCUCCCACCCUUGAAUAUUUAUACCUUAGUUGCUUUGGCAGGCCGUGGAAACACCAUGGGCUCCGGCUUAUGCGUGCCUGCCAGAGGAAACAAACUCUGUUUUUAGUGAUGUCUGAGUACAAUAUAAUAGUUAAAACUUUCAACAACGGAUCUCUUGGUUCUG